rnacentral:rRNA from 1 species
AUUUGGAAGGCUAAAAUUCCACUCAAGAUUAAAAAAUUUAUGUGGCAACUUUCGCAAGAUGCGGUGCUGACUAGACAGAUGAUGCAUCAUAGGAAUUGGCCUGGGAACCCUGUUUGUUCAUUCUGUAACGAAAUUGAGACUUCCCAGCACUUGUUCUUUACUUGUUCGGUCGCUAGGGUCGUGUGGUGA